AUGGAGCUUCUCUGCCCGUCCUCAUGGCCGACGGUGAUGGUUGCUCCCUCCCUCUCCCCCUCCCAAAUGGCUCCCUAUUCCUCGGGUUUGACGGUAGCUCCUCGUCGGAGAUUUAAGGAGGAGGAGGUUCGCAUGAUGGUGGUAUCCUCGUCGGAGAUUAAGGAGGAGGAGGUGCGCCUGACGGUGGGUGCUUCACGCGCCGGCAAGUCGUCCUCGCCGGCGGGGGGCGCGGAGGAGGUUCGCAAGACGGCGAAGAAGGUGGAGGAGGUUGUUUGGAACGCGGUGUUCGCACUACUUGCCCGCAGGUUCUCGCUAUCGGGGCUCACCACGCCGUCGGCGUCCGUGAUUGGUAAGUAUUGUAAUAUCGCGCCUACUCCAUCUUCUCUCUCACAUCAGUAGGCGUAGGCAUCAGUCACUAACUUUCACUAAUCAGUAGUACUGUAACUCACUCCUCCUCCUGAAGAGGUACCGACAUCGUGUGAAGACGACGAUUGUGCUCCUGUCCAUAGAAGCGCUGAUGACCUCGCUCACGGUUGCUUCCUUCAACGCCACCCCGUUUGGUAUGCAGUGACGGAGCUAUGUUGGGCUAGGCGGAGGGGGGCACUGCCCCCAGCCUUUGAUCAAUUUCUGAAGAUUUUUUUUACAGAGACUUAGAUUAGAACAUUUUUAGCAUUUGCCCCCCCCCCCAACACUGACUUUUUUAGUAGUGUAUUGCCGCCGGGAAUCUAGUCAAAGGUCACGAUUCAGCGUCAGAGCCACUUUCAUCGUCUCGACUAUCCCUGCCCUUCUUGCGUUAUUGCUCGUAGAGGCGAUUCUAAGUCCGUUGUUUAUUCUUCUCCUGCCAGCUAGGUCUCUCGCACUAACAUGUUUGAUGGUAGAUAGUAGCGCCCACGAUGAAGACCUUUUGGUUCUUUUCUUACAUCAUGACGGGUUGGACGAACUACUGCCUCCUGAAAGAGACCAAGAGAAUGAUCGGCGAAGGUGGUGCCGACGGCCGUGCAUCUUCAUGGGUUCCUGCUGUAGGGAUUCGUAGGGCAGACGGCCUUCUUGCUGUCCAAGCUGCAGGAGUAGCUAGGUUAAUGUGCAAGUGGGAAUUUAGUAAUGGGAAAC
rnacentral:rRNA from 1 species